rnacentral:rRNA from 1 species
AGCGAACGCUGGCGGCAGGCUUAACACAUGCAAGUCGAGCGGGCACUUUCGGGUGUCCGCGGCGGACGGGUGAGUAACGCGUGGGAACGUGCCCUCUGGUUCGGAAUAACUCAGGGAAACUUGAGCUAAUACCGGAUACGCCCUUUUGGGGAAAGGCUUGCUGCCGGAGGAUCGGCCCGCGUCUGAUUAGCUUGUUGGUGAGGUAACGGCUCACCAAGGCGACGAUCAGUAGCUGGUCUGAGAGGAUGAUCAGCCACACUGGGACUGAGACACGGCCCAGACUCCUACGGGAGGCAGCAGUGGGGAAUAUUGGACAAUGGGCGCAAGCCUGAUCCAGCCAUGCCGCGUGAGUGAUGAAGGCCUUAGGGUUGUAAAGCUCUUUUAUCCGGGACGAUAAUGACGGUACCGGAGGAAUAAGCCCCGGCUAACUUCGUG